UAUUCUACAGAUUGACUUCAUUAAUAUAUGGUGCGGAGUAACUAUUAUUUGAAAAAUGAAAAUUUUGCUGAUUUCGCUGAUCGGACUUAAAGUUAUUAUCUGCACAUCUAGUCCGUACAGAGACAAUUUCAUGUUUAUUGGUGCAAAUCCUAAAUUCAAGACAAUGAUCCCAGAUUUAUUUUCUUAAAGUAAAUUUUUCCAGAUUUAACCACACAAAACGAAGAAAGUCAGAUACUUGUUUACGAAGUUUAUAGAAUGCUUGUUAGUCAUAACUUUUAUUUUAUGUCAUGGACAGUUAAUUAAACAAAUGUAAUAAUAAAUGUUGCUAAGAAUCGUUUUAA